UGGCACAUGUAUGAAGGACUUUACCUUCAGGA
rnacentral:piRNA from 1 species